UGAUAAACAAAAAAGUGCUCUGCACUCAAGUGUUCCGGUUAACAGACAGUGUUCCGGUGUUGUGGUAUGUAUCUAUUCCGGUAAACAAAAAAGUGAUCUGCAUUCAAGUGUUCUGGUUAACAAAAAGUGAUCCGGUGUUGCGGAUCAUGUAUAUCCAUCUAUUCCGAUAAACAAUAAAGUGCUAUGGUGCUGCAGAUGCAUACAUGAAUCCACGAUUUUUCCCUUCAAUCUCAUGUACAAUGGCUAGUUGGAAAUGAGGAUUUUUCCAUUCAAUCUCAUGUGUAUGCAUCUAUAUGUCGGUGACAGAUACUGUAUGGGUGAUUGUUUCCUGUAAAAACAUGGGCACCUUUCAUUCAUGAUUGUAUGCCGUCACUUUUUACCUUUCCUUUCACCAAUAUGUAAUUAAAUUAAGUUUGUAAUUUACCGGAAUACUAUUUUUUACCGGAACACUUGAGGCUGCUCUUUUUUAGAGUUACCGGAAUACUUUAUUCAACUGUUCUGGAUUGUAAUUUUUUUACCGAAACACUUAAUCGGGGUGAAGAGAAAUAAUAAAAGAGGGUAAAAUGGGAAUAAUGGGUUGUUUGUAGGGGUAAAG
rnacentral:lncRNA from 1 species